UCUUCCCAAAAUCCCCCUUCCCUCCCAAAAUCCCCAUUUUCUCGUAUUAGCUAGGUCUUAAUUUAGGAAAAAUAGUGGAAAAAGAUAACCCUAGCCAAUCCCUCUUUCAUUCUUGCUCUCUGGCCUAUACGUCGUGCAAAACCCUUGUCGUCUUGCUUCAAUUGUCUCAGUGUGCCGUCACCGUCGCCACUCCAUCUUCUCAAACGCAGAACCAGAACCAGUUUCUAGUUGCCAGUUAUGCAGAAUCGGUUGCACGAAGUUACCGCGCCUUUACCGGUCACCAAUUCGUCGCCGCUCUACCACUCUUUUGUCGCCUCUUUGCUGUGCUUCGUUUCCAUCUUUGCCGCCGUUCCUGGUUGUUGUUCCCAAAGAUAGCGAACGAGGAGUGCAUUUUAGAACGAUUGGUAGCUUUAUUUGUGCAAUGAUGAUUGGCACGUUGAUGGUGGCAAGAAGAAGGGUGGAGGUGGAUUUCAAGUGGUGAAGAGAAAGGUGAAAACCAAGUUGAUAGGCAAUGGAGCUUGAUAAAUGAGGUAAUUUCUGGCUGAAAUUGAGGGACUUAAGCAAAACUCUGAAAAAGGCUGAUAAAAGGACUGCUGAUGCUGUUGGAAUCUGACCUCCCUGCACUCAAAAUGGAUUUUCUGGAGCUACAGAAUUCCAAAUGGCGCGCUCUUAACGGCGUUGGAAAGUCGACAUCCAGAGCUUUCCAACAAUAUAUAAUAGUUUAUACUUUAUUCGGAAAUUGACGACGUAAUUUGGCGUUGAACGCCAAGUACAUGCUGCUGUCUGGAGUUAAACGCCAGAAACACGUCAUGAUCCGGAGUUGAACGCCCAAAACACGUUAUAACUUGGAGUUCAACUCCAAGAAAAGCCUCAGCUCGUGGAUAGAUCAAGCUCAGCCCAAGCAUACACCAAGUGGGCCCCGAAAGUGGAUUUAUGCAUCAAUUACUUACUCAUGUAAACCCUAGUAGCUAGUCUAGUAUAAAUAGGAUAAUUUACUAUUGUAUUAGACAUCUUUUGACAGUUUAAUCUCUUGACUGUUUAGCCUUUGAUUAUUCGGUCUCUUGAUCAUUCAGGGGGCUGGCCAUUCGGCCAUGCCUGAACCUUUCACUUAUGUAUUUUCAACGGUGGAGUUUCUGCACACCAUAGAUUAAGGGUGUGGAGCUCUGCUGUACCUCAAGU